GAAGUAGAGAACGAAAUUUACCCAUGCUGCAUUGCUACGGUCUCUAUCACCGUGUACGCGAAAUAGGUUGAGUGCCACCUUAGUGGAAAGGAUGGCUGAGACAAAGGCAGAAAAAACGAACUUAGUUGCUCCUGUGAAAGCAAAACAAUCUCUUAAGCCUGGAA